rnacentral:rRNA from 1 species
AGUGAACGCUGGCGGUCGGCCUAACACAUGCAAGUCGAACGGCAGCACAGUAAGAGCUUGCUCUUACGGGUGGCGAGUGGCGGACGGGUGAGGAAUACAUCGGAAUCUACUUUUUCGUGGGGGAUAACGCAGGGAAACUUACGCUAAUACCGCAUACGACCUACGGGUGAAAGCAGGGGAUCUUCGGACCUUGCGCGAUUGAAUGAGCCGAUGUCGGAUUAGCUAGUUGGCGGGGUAAAGGCCCACCAAGGCGACGAUCCGUAGCUGGUCUGAGAGGAUGAUCAGCCACACUGGAACUGAGACACGGUCCAGACUCCUACGGGAGGCAGCAGUGGGGAAUAUUGGACAAUGGGCGCAAGCCUGAUCCAGCCAUACCGCGUGGGUGAAGAAGGCCUUCGGGUUGUAAAGCCCUUUUGUUGGGAAAGAAAAGCAGCAGGUUAAUACCCCGCUGUUCUGACGGUACCCAAAGAAUAAGCACCGGCUAACUUCGUG